UGAUGAUGAUGAUGAUGAUGAUGAUGAUGAUGAUGAUGAGUGUGCUGCCAGCACACUCAUCAUCCAGCACACUCAUCAUCAUCAUCAUCAUCAUCAUCACUAUUA
rnacentral:pre_miRNA from 1 species